rnacentral:rRNA from 1 species
GACGAACCGUGCGAACGUUGUUCGGAUUCAUUGGGCGUAAAGAGCUCGUAGGCGGCCACUCAAGUCGAAUGUGAAACCUCGAGGCUUAACCUCGAGCCUGCAUUCGAUACUGGGCGGCUAGAGUCUGGUAGGGGAGUCGUGGAAUUCCUGGGUGUAGCGGUGGAAUGCGCAGAUAUCAGGAGGAACACCGGUGGCGAAGGCGGGAUCCUGGGCCAGUACUGACGCUGAGGAGCGAAAGCGUGGGGAGCAAACAGG